rnacentral:rRNA from 1 species
GUAGGUGGCAAGCGUUGUCCGGAAUUAUUGGGCGUAAAGCGCGCGCAGGCGGUCCUUUAAGUCUGAUGUGAAAACCCACGGCUCAACCGUGGAGGGUCAUUGGAAACUGGGGGACUUGAGUACAGAAGAGGAAAGCGGAAUUCCAAGUGUAGCGGUGAAAUGCGUAGAGAUUUGGAGGAACACCAGUGGCGAAGGCGGCUUUCUGGUCUGUAACUGACGCUGAGGCGCGAAAGCGUGGGGAGCAAACAGGAUUAGAUACCCUGGUAGUCCACGCCGUAAACGAUGAGUGCUAAGUGUUAGGGGGUUUCCCGCCCCCUUAGUGCUGCAGCUAACGCAUUAAGCACUCCGCCUGGGGAGUACGGCCGCAAGGCUG